rnacentral:misc_RNA from 1 species
UUGGUUUGUUUCCGGUGGAUGGCUCUCCGCUUAAUUGCGACAACUUCCACCUGGCAUACCUCUUCAGCUGCGUAUCAAGCUCUCGUUGCCUUGAUUGGAUUCUGGGUUUCUGUGUUGCCUACCUAAGUUUACGGUAUUGUUUGGACCCGUCAACCUUUUAUUUCGUCUCGCAUCACACUCGUGGUGUGGGAUGAACCUUGAAGCGGUCUCUUUGUUCCAUCUUGUUGACAUGGACGUGUCAAUGUUGUGGGUCAUUGAGCAUCGCUUGGUAUUACGGAUACGGAACAUGAUGUGGGCACGGGGUCUCUUGGGAUCCUUGUUUUUGCCUAUUUGGGGCGUUAUCGUUCUUUUUAGAUGAUCGUCCAGCCCGAAUUGGCUCGUACCACCGGGUGGAUUUGUAGUCGAGAAAGGACGCUAACGUUCAAGCUUCUCAAAAAAGACGUCCAUCUCGUCUUGGCUUGUACAAGCGGGUUGGGUAUGUCCUAGAGGGAUGCUACCUGGUUGAUCCUGCCAGUAGUCAUAUGCUUGUCUCAA